GGGAUGAUUUUUCGUGAUGAUGGGGAUCCAUUCUUCUUCCAUGUUGACGCCUCCGGUCCUGCCACGAUUCGUCUUGUCGUCCUCCCCGGCAUUCGCAUAGGUCAGGCUCGUGGGGUUGGUGAGUGACAAGGCGGGGAGGAACACGGAUCUGUCUCCCGCAUCGACUUCAUCAGACGGGAUGAUUUUUCGUGAUGAUGGGGAUCCAUUCUUCUUCCAUGUUGACGCCUCCGGUCCUGCCACGAUUCGUCUUGUCGUCCUCCCCGGCAUUCGCAUAGGUCAGGCUCGUGGGGUUGGUGAGUGACAAGGCGGGGAGGAACACGGAUCUGUCUCCCGCAUCGACUUCAUCAGACGGGAUGAUUUUUCGUGAUGAUGGGGAUCCAUUCUUCUUCCAUGUUGACGCCUCCGGUCCUGCCACGAUUCGUCUUGUCGUCCUCCCCGGCAUUCGCAUAGGUCAGGCUCGUGGGGUUGGUGAGUGACAAGGCGGGGAGGAACACGGAUCUGUCUCCCGCAUCGACUUCAUCAGACGGGAUGAUUUUUCGUGAUGAUGGGGAUCCAUUCUUCUUCCAUGUUGACGCCUCCGGUCCUGCCACGAUUCGUCUUGUCGUCCUCCCCGGCAUUCGCAUAGGUCAGGCUCGUGGGGUUGGUGAGUGACAAGGCGGGGAGGAACACGGAUCUGUCUCCCGCAUCGACUUCAUCAGACGGGAUGAUUUUUCGUGAUGAUGGGGAUCCAUUCUUCUUCCAUGUUGACGCCUCCGGUCCUGCCACGAUUCGUCUUGUCGUCCUCCCCGGCAUUCGCAUAGGUCAGGCUCGUGGGGUUGGUGAGUGACAAGGCGGGGAGGAACACGGAUCUGUCUCCCGCAUCGACUUCAUCAGACGGGAUGAUUUUUCGUGAUGAUGGGGAUCCAUUCUUCUUCCAUGUUGACGCCUCCGGUCCUGCCACGAUUCGUCUUGUCGUCCUCCCCGGCAUUCGCAUAGGUCAGGCUCGUGGGGUUGGUGAGUGACAAGGCGGGGAGGAACACGGAUCUGUCUCCCGCAUCGACUUCAUCAGACGGGAUGAUUUUUCGUGAUGAUGGGGAUCCAUUCUUCUUCCAUGUUGACGCCUCCGGUCCUGCCACGAUUCGUCUUGUCGUCCUCCCCGGCAUUCGCAUAGUUGGCCAUGAAAUCUGACCAAUUGCUAGCUACUCACACGCGUACUUACAACGACUAGUUUCCAGUGAGGAAGCACUCACUACAGUUGCUUGGGUUUGGGAUAUGCAGGUCAGGCUCGUGGGGUUGGUGAGUGACAAGGCGGGGAGGAACACGGAUCUGUCUCCCGCAUCGACUUCAUCAGACGGGAUGAUUUUUCGUGAUGAUGGGGAUCCAUUCUUCUUCCAUGUUGACGCCUCCGGUCCUGCCACGAUUCGUCUUGUCGUCCUCCCCGGCAUUCGCAUAGGUCAGGCUCGUGGGGUUGGUGAGUGACAAGGCGGGGAGGAACACGGAUCUGUCUCCCGCAUCGACUUCAUCAGACGGCAGGUAGGAGGUACAACGGCCAGCGACCGAAACGACACCAAAAGCCAAAGGAAGCUUGAAGUCUGCUCCUUCUCCACCAGUAGAGAGGAGCCUCCUUUUUGGGUUCCGCGUGUCUGCUCCGACCCUACCAGCGCCGAUGCCAUGGAAGAUUUACUCAGGCACGCGAAGUGUAAUGAGGAGCAGCUGCUGGGCGUGAUGUUGAUCGAUCCUAGCCUGUCUUCCGGCUCUCAGUGAUUUGCUCCUCGAGGUGUAUGCCGUGCUGCACCUGAAUCCUGUUGACUACGAGCAGCGGAACGCCUUGUUUGAUGUAUUCAGCAACAUGGCAACUAAAAUCUUUGGUAAGAGAUGAUAUAGUUUGCCUUUGUUACUAAUAAUGUGAUCACUGAAUAGCAUGAUGAACUUGUCGCAGAGUAGAGAAAGAUAACAUCGUCAUGAAUAUUAUCUCUCUUCCAGUUAUACUCCCUCCGUAACUUAAUAUAAGAUGCUUUUUGACACUAUGCCAGUGUCAGAAAACAUAUUAUAUGAAGUUACGGAGGGAGUAGUAAUCAGCGGUUUUACUCUUUGUAUUUGAGAUUUCUCAAAAACUCUCGUUACUUAUGUUAUCUAUCUACUUACGGAGGGAGUAGUAAAACUAAUAAGAAGAAUACCAUUCUUAAUAUGUUUGAUUCUGGUUAUUUGUUAUCUAUCUACUUAUGUUAUCUAGCAUCUACACGAUACUUUUGUGGAAGGUGGACUGUCGCUGUCAGAAAUCAGAAAUACUAUUUUCUUGGCUUUGGUCUUUUGGACAGUUGAAGUUUGUGAAUAA